GUGCUUGCUUCGGCAGCAUAUAUAUUAAAACUGGAACAAUACAGAAAAGAUUAGCAUGGGCCCUGUGCAAGAAUGACAUGCAAAUUUGUGAAGCAGUCCAUAUUUUU